rnacentral:rRNA from 1 species
UACGUAGGGUGCAAGCGUUGUCCGGAAUUAUUGGGCGUAAAGAGCUCGUAGGCGGUUUGUCGCGUCGAAUGUGAAAACCCGGGGCUCAACCCCGGGCCUGCAUUCGAUACGGGCAGACUAGAGUUCGGUAGGGGAGUCUGGAAUUCCUGGUGUAGCGGUGAAAUGCGCAGAUAUCAGGAGGAACACCGGUGGCGAAGGCGGGUCUCUGGGCCGAUACUGACGCUGAGGAGCGAAAGCGUGGGGAGCGAACAGG